GAAAAUCUGCCGAUAUAGGAAAUUUUUUCUCCAAAAGAAGAAUGUAUCUGUAUCGGUAUGGUUUUGUCCUUUUUAAUCUUUGUAGAACAUUUUUUUACAUUGUGCUUUAUUAGGAUCCUGUUAUUCAUCCCUUGGGCGAGCGAGACUCUCAAAGCUAGGAGCAACUACUUAAAUGAUACUCCUGUUUGGUUAAAUAUCCGGAUUAUCACCGUGUAUGUAUUCAGUUAAAUGUUUAACUGAUGAAUUCAAUAUUAUGCUUUGGAAUUUGCUCUGCAAUAAUAUAUAGGCAGAAAGAUACAAACUCACCAUUUAAAAGGUCUUGCAUGUAUAGAUAACAAGGACAGGUGAAAGAUGAAACAAAAGAGUAAGAAACAUCAUCUUCCACUAAAAUACCAGUCCUCGAUCUGAUAGAAAGAAAAAUUUUUCUGACUGAGCAUGCUGGCUUACUUAGUCAUAGAUAGUUUUCCCAUUGUGAUGGAGCUUUCCUGUUAGUAUAUGCUUUUUCUUAGAAAGGGGGAUGGAGGAAACUUUUUGUUCUCUUUCUCUUUGCCUUGUGCUCGAUCUGAUAUUAAUAGCAUGAAGAUGGUUCAUUAUGUUGAAAGUCGAGGUUUUCCUAUAUGGGUCAAGUGAAGUUUCCUCAUAAAUAACAUUGUAAGCAAUCGUUACUGAGAUAAACAAUUGCAUCCGCAGAUGCCAACAUGCUUCAGGUUGACAUUGAUCAUUUGAGGAUAUCACAAUAAGAUGGUUGCACAUUUUAUAUGUCACUUCAAGCUUUAUUGCUGCUCUCUAGCAAUAAGCAGAAUAUGUUCAUAGGCUUCUCUUCUAUCUAUACAUCAGAUUGGAUGUCAAUUUUAACUGAAAGAUAGCCCAAUAUAGCUUGUUCUUUCGUCACAAAUGUUAUUUGGCUCAAUAUAGAUGUUCAGUUACUCACGGUUAAUUUUUUUUUUCUUGAGUUGUAAGUCUGAGCUACUGCCAGUUGAAGACAUGUUACAUAAAUACAAUAUGUUAUAUGCACUAA